rnacentral:rRNA from 1 species
UACAGAGGUCCCAAGCGUUGUUCGGAUUCACUGGGCGUAAAGGGUGCGUAGGUGGUUGGGUAAGUUUGAUGUGAAAUCUCCGGGCUUAACCCGGAAACUGCAUUGAAUACUAUUUGACUAGAGGGUUGGAGGGGGGACUGGAAUACUUGGUGUAGCAGUGAAAUGCGUAGAUAUCAAGUGGAACACCAGUGGCGAAGGCGAGUACCUGGACAACUCCUGACACUGAGGCACGAAAGCUAGAGGAGCAAACAGG